GAUGAAAGAAAGCAGAGAAGCAGAUGAGGACAGGACUAGUAAGGUUAUAUAUAUGACAGGUAAUGCAAAGUGCCCAGGGAACCCAAGCAAAAAUAAUCUGAUAUGAAGAAAUGGAAAGAAAGCAGAAUAUGAGAGGGAAGAAAUGUAUUAAAAGAACAAUAUGAUUUUUUUCUCUCAUAUUUUUUUCUCUCAUAAAAGACAGUGAAGAAUGAGUGGAUACCAUUAAGUGCUAAGCUUAUUACUAUUUUGAGAACUGAGACCACGUGAAGCUAGUGGAGUUCAACAAAACAAAGUGCAAGAUGUGUACAGGCUGAGAGAACUCACUGAGCACAGCUCUGCCGAGAAGGACUUGUGGGUCCUGACUGAUUAAAAAAAAAACUUAACAUGAGCCUGCAAUGUGCCCUUGCAGCCAGGAAAGCUGACAGUGUCCUGGGUUGCAUCAAAACAGGUUGACCAGCAAAGACAGAGAGGGGAUUGUCCCUGUCUCCUCUGCCCUUGUGAGACACCACCUGCGUUACUGCAUCCAGCCCCGGGCCCACAGCAUAAGAAUCAGUCACAAAAUUGUAGGGGUUGGAAGGGACCUCUAGAGGUUAUCGAGUGCAGCCCACGAGAAAGAUGUGGAGCUGUUGGAGAGAAUCACAGAGGUGGACCACAGAGGUGAUUGAAGAGCUAGAGCACCUCUCCUAUGAAGGAAGGCUGCAGGAGCUGGGCUUGUUCAGCUUGGAGAAAGUUUGGGGGAUACUUCAUUGCAGCCUUCCAGUAGUUAAAGGAAGCUUAUAAGCAGGAGAGAAACAGACCUUUUACAUCAAGAUUUAGAUUAGGUAGUAGGAAGAAAUUCUCUACUCAGAGUUUGGUGAGACACUGGCACAAGCUGCCCGGAGAAGCUGUGGAUGGAUCCAUAGAGGUGUUUAAAGCCAAGGUUGGAUGUGGCCCUGGGCAGCCUGAUCUAAUGGCAACCCCUCCCAUGGCAGGGAAUUGGACCUGAAUCUUCCAACACAAGCCAUUCUACAGUAUGGUCUAUACAAGGAGAAAUUAGUUGCUGGGAGGUUACAGCUGGAAAUGUGCUGUAAGUCCACG
rnacentral:lncRNA from 1 species